rnacentral:misc_RNA from 1 species
CGGACGUACCAACGGAACUCAAGAUACAGAUUCAGAGAGAACUGCUCCUUGCGAAGGAGGCAAAAUACGAACAUGGCAGACGAAGACUGUCGACCGAGUACAGACAGCUGAUCAGCCAGAACAGCGAUAACGUGGACGCUGGCAAUGUGCCAUCUCGCUGGCAACGUCGUACUUCUCGCGUUUCUGAUGCCCUGGACGCGCAUGUACCGGCCACGCCUACUUCUUAGACUUAUAGAAUACUUCUAGCAUAAUUCUAGAGUUUUUUUUUAUGUAGUCUUAAUGUAGACAAAUGUUGGUUUUAAUGUGUGUGUUCGGGGGGCGUUUAUAAACUACAUACAAGUGUAAUUUUAAUCGUUUUCUCGCAAACGAAAAAAAACGACUACAAUUUACAUUGUCAAGAUGUGG